GCUUUCAACAGGGCCAUCCAGUCCUACUUUCUACAAUGAUGAGAUCACUUAGCAUUAGUAGCUACCAUGUCGGGCAAUGCGGAUUAAGAAGGUACUUGCUGACUUGAUCUUUGCUACUUCUCUGAGAGAGGAAUGGAGAAAUGUAUCAUCUUAUUGACAAUGAAACUUUGGAGUGGAAAGGCGGUGUGACUGAUUUAAGAUCACAGUGCAGUGAUCACACGUGGGUAUGAGGCAGGCGGUCAUCCACCCCAUCACCACAGAAUGUUCGGCAUGUGAAAGAGUUCUGGAGAUGGAUCUUCCCUGCAGUGAAAUUGAGUCAGAUGGAUCACCUGCAGGGGAGUUCACCCUGGGAGAAUAUUUCAGAAUUUGCCUGCUUCUUCCUGGAACCAGCCUCUGUUAGAAUGCAUGAUUCCGUGAUGAAAACUUACAGAUUUUCCAUGGAGGAGAAGACCUCUUCCUGAUCAUAUGUCCAUUGUUAUGGGACUGUCUAUUAGUGGUACAGUUGCUGAGCCAGCCCAGGUGUGAAUUUUACAAACAUUACUUAUAUUAGCGGUAACGGUGGAGCCAGAGAGUAUUGCACCUUCUCCAAGCUGCAC
rnacentral:lncRNA from 10 species